ACGAGAGAUAAGAGAGCGACCGAAUCAUGAUGGCUGAGUUCAAAUGGAUUCAGACUUCUUUAUUUCUGAUGGUGAUGCUUCAGUUCACAGCAGCAGCUGAGACACAUCGUCACUCCUUCACUGUCAGAGUUGGAGAUGACGUCUCUUUGCCUUGUGAAAAUGCAGCGAAAAAGAAGCAUAAAUGUGGCAGUUAUUCCUGGUUCUACAGUGGUUCAAGAAGCCCAGCAGCAGUGGAGCUGGUUCAACUUGGGAAGGUUGUUGAACGUGACAAACCUUCAUCAGACAGACUGAGUGUUCUACAGAACUGUUCUCUGGUCAUGAAGAAGGUCACAGUCGAGGAUGUUGGUCGUUACACAUGCAGAGAGUUCAGGUCAGGAGGAGAACAAGGUUCAGACUCUGUGGUUCAUCUGUCUGUGAUCAGCAUGACUGAACAUAAGGACAGUGAUAAGGUGACAUUAAAGUGCUCUGUGGUGACAUGUGAGCGAUGUACACACACAGUGCAGUGGUCGUUUAACGGUAACGAUGUGGAUAAAGAUAGCCAGGAUCUCAAGAUGUCACAGUCUUCCUGCUUUGCCUCUCUGCGGUUUCUGUCUUCUCAUUACCUUUACACAUCAAGGUAUGAACGACUCAAGUGUAAAGUGACCAAUGGUAACAAAGUGCAGCAGUUUGACCUCAUCCCUCAGCCCUCAGGCGAGAAACCAGGUGAAGAUGCAACAACUUCAAUAUCAUCAGCACCACCAACAUCAACAUCAAUAUCAUCAGCACCACCAACAUCAACAACAACAACAGCAACUCCAGACGCUCGUACAGAUUGUUCUGUGGUGAACUACAUAAUGUUGGUGAUGCGUGUGGCUGAACUCGUCCUCAUCACUGUGAUCACUGUUCUUCUCAUCAGAGCUCGAGGGAGGCAGAGACCACCUGAUGACAACACUGUGAGUGGACAAUAAAAACUGAAGUGACCUGAUGUGUGAAAUGAAAGCUGUGUAUGAAUGUUCAGGGACUGUGUGAAUGGUUUUAAACUCAGGAGGAAGCAGAACAGCGAGGCGUUCAGGUGCAGCAGCCAGUCAGGUAAAG